CAUGUUUUUUCUUAGUAUUUUAUUUGGUAUUUAAAAAAAAGUCUCAUUGCGAAUUAAUAACUGUCUUUUAAAACAAGCUGCAUCUGUUGUUCUGAAGACAAUUAUUUACUUUCACAACAGCUUUUUUAUUUAUUCACCACGAUAAACUUGCUGAAGCAAGAAAAUGUAUGUUCAAAAAAUUAGGAAAAAACUUUAGUUUGAGCGCUGUUUGUUUAAAAAUAGUACUUAAAAUUGGUUUAGAAAUUAAAACCUCUCUCUAUAUGCAUACACAGGUAGCAUGGAAGAUACUCUUAUAUAUACAUUAAAUACUGUACAUUGAUGUCAGAUACAGUUUUUAUGACAAUUAUUCUUUUCAAAUUCUUUACAUACUUAAAAACAUUUCAUUUUGGAAUGCUACAAAUUUAAGUGAUAGAAGGCAUAAGCUUCUCUGAGUGGAAAUGUUCUAAAUCAAUCUUCAUUGUUGUCAUACAGGAAAAAAUAUUAUUUGUCGAUCAGAGAGUCAGGAAUUAACUAUGUCAAAUCCUAUGCUUGGGUAAUCUCAGAUUUUAGUCUUCAUUGUGUGCCUGUGUAAUACAGGACCUCAGUAGUGACUGUCUGCCUCGGGGAAGGAAUAUUUGCUUUGUAAGGUCACUAUUUCCCAUUUUAUUCUCAUGUGCAAAUGAGAGAUGAAUCCUAUUCAGGUUCAGUAUACCCCCUCUCAACAGCAGGCAGACCUGUGGAAUCAUGCGUUUGGGUAGCUAUUACAGCUCCCUGGCAUCUGCAAUUAUUUUUCUCACUGUACCAGUCCCAAAUAAUCUCCUCCUAAAGGAGCUGCACAGUUUCUGCCCUUGCAUUUUGUGUUUUGUCCUUUGUGUUAUGAGUGUUAUCUUGGGGAUUUUCUGCCAUUUCCUCUGCAGUAAGAAAGGGCUGAGAGAUGGGAGAAUGUUUCCCAGCAAUAGGUGGGAAGGUUGUCAAGAAAGUUGUCCCCCAUUCUCUUGCAUUGGUUAGCAGUGAGUUAGGGAUGUGAAUAUAACGAUUUUGCUGUGAACACAUGGCAAAACCCUGCUGCAUAUCCUGCUCUGAACUGUAGCAGAGCUUUGUUGCAGUUCAUGCUGUUCAGUUAUUGCUGUAUUCAAAAUGACUCUAAUGAGUGCAUUCGUAAGGUUUAGGACCUUACGAAUUAAUUGGGAAAAGAUGUUUUCGCUAUUUUAAAAAAUUUGAACUGUAACUAUAUUAAUUAAAAUUUGAGUACUUGCUUAACUGUAUCUACCAGCGUUGGAAGUCUCUUAGUUUUUAUCAGUGAAAGUUAGGAGAUCAAAAAUGUGUUAAUUGUUCAAAUAAGCAAGCAAGCAAGAGGUUUUCUAAUAUAACCCCUUUUCCCUUACCGCCUCCUUCUUCCUAGUUCCUGCUUCUAAAAAUAAUUUUCCUGCCAGUAAGACUGUCUGCAUAGGUUUAAACCAAAAAGAUUUUAUACAAACCCAAUUUCAGAAACCUCAAAACCAAAGAUUAUACUACUGAGGCAACCCUUACUAUAUAAUGACAUUUGAGAUUACAAUACACUUAUUUUAAAUUUACUUAUUGAACCAAAAGGUAGCUGUUCCAGUGGUGUAAUAUCCUGGAACUGCUAGUUACUACCAACAUUAAACAAGUACUACAAAAUAAGUCAACAAGCUUAUUUAAAAAAAAAAAGGCAAAACAUUUCUUAGGUACAGCUUGGUCUCCUGCUUUUUGAAACAUACAAUAAAUACAUAAUUUCUGAAAGUGUUUUGCCACAGCAGUGUUUACAAUCUGUGUUGAAGUGGUUAACUAGAAAACUGUACUGCAAACAGUAAAAUGGUAAAAUGUACUUACAGUGCAUACCUAACAAGCAAAGCUAAGGAACUUUGAAAAGCUGAAAUUUAUAGGUAGAGAAAUAUUGAAUGUGUCUUUUCAAUUAUCUUUUACUAUGAAGGCACCAUCCAUCUAUUGUUCUGAGCUCUAUGAUUAUUUGCAUAUAAAUAUUCAGCACAUAAAGAGUUCUUUAAUUUUUCUUUGAUUGUUUAGCUAACACUGGAAUAUCAUUCUUAGACCUCUCUGCUGUGUGGUGGUGUAUUCCGGUAGCUUACAUGUAAGCUUGUAGAUAGGUAUGCAAAUACCUUAAAUUAAAAAGAGAAUAUGAUAAAUGAGGUUGUAAAGAAAAUUGUAGCUUUCUAAAGAAAGUGUCUAUUUUUAGGUUGUUUUUAAAGUAAGAACCUCUAUAUAGACCUGAUUCAAGAGAACAUAACUUUCUAUGUCAAACUGGUAUCACCUUUAAGUAGGCUUCCUCCUACCUUAGUAUUGUGAUUACAGUUCUUAAUUUUUUGGACAGAAAAGAAGCUUCAUUGUCGCCAUUUAGGUGCAGCAGAAGUCACUGCGUGGUGCUACGCUGUGCGUGUAGCUAAAGAGUGAGAGCUGGAAAGCAACUGCCUAACUUUGCAAAGUUCUGCUGAUGGAGCAUAGUUUCAAUCUACUCCAUACAAGCAAUAGUUCUUUGUUACCAGAAAAUGUUUGCUUCCUUUGAGAGUGCUAUUUUGAGUGGGCUGUAGGAAUUGCCCUAAUUUAAGUCACUGAGAAACCAAUGGGAAUUGUACUGGAGUGAGUGUCUGUCAGCUGUAUCUUAAGGUUCAUUGUUGAAUGGAACCAAAUACCCUGGUCACUUCAUAAGAUAGAAAAGGGAAAGUCUCUACAUAAAACUGGAGAAGGAAAACUUUAACCUUCAUAUCCUCAGGGAGAUGAAUAGAAGACAUUUCUUGAGAGAAAUUUAUUAGUCUGCAGUGGAAAAGCCUAAUUGAAGUAAUGUGUAGGUGCUGUUUCCCAGAAGCAUGGAGCUGCUCUCUUGGCUGGAAGGAGGUGGUGUUAGAUGAUGUUGCCAUUACUAGGUUUCUGGUUUACCACAGACUUUUUUUAUGACAGGUACAGGUCCCUUAGUGUGGUGGUGGGGUUUUUUUUUCCCCAUCUGUGAACUGGGCACAGGGCUUCCUUAAAUUGUGGAACAGUUAUGUGAAUGCGUUCCUUAAAAUUUUUAGGCAUUUAAUACUCUAGCUAUUGGAUUAUACAAGUGGAUAGAUAGAUAGAUGAAUGCUAGAUAAAUGCUAUUAAAAAAGCAGAUAAAAAUAAUACUAUAGUUUUAACUUAUAUCAGUAACUUAAAUCAGUUAAGUAUGUAAGUGUUGACUUGGAUUUAAAACAAAGAGUAAAAUACAUUUUAGUUUUUACAAAUGUGCACUAUUUACAUGCUGGAUUAUAUCUUUGAAUUUUCCAUGUUUUGUGUCAUGUGAGAUUUCCUUAUUUUGAAAAAUGAGAAGGUUGCUGCUUGAAUAUGCUUGUCGGAGGAUAUCAGACAUCUUCAUUCAAUCUAGGUGGUAAUAAAGUAUAAGAUGUAAUGCUGAGUUUGUGUAAAAUGCCAACAGUGAAAUGCUAUGUGUGAAUCAUGUUUUGUUAUGUAUUUCUUCAUUAUUACUGAUUGUAUGAUAUAGAUAAACUGCUCUUUAAAAAUUA